AAUUCUUAGCGGAUGAUAAAGUUGUGUAGAAACUGAACACUUACAAAUUAUUUAAAACCUGGAAUCACUGACCAGAAAUUACACAGUUGGAUCAUGGGAGAACAGCAGAAAGGGGUUAUUGAGGGAACCUACACUGUUCUAGCUGCACCCCAUGCCCUUCUCAGAGGAAAGCCUGGCAUUGAUUAGAUACUGGGCCAGACUAAUACUGGCAGCAGAGCCAGUGAUAGUAACCUGCCUACCAGAGGAGCCUUCCACUGGGUUGGCAAUUUUGAUCUGGGCCCCGGACAUCUGGCGGAUCUCAUUAAUGUUGGCGCCUUGGCGCCCGAUUAUGCAGCCAAUUAAGUUAUUUGGAAUGGUGAGUUCAUGGGUGGUUUGAGUAGAUGCAUCCAAACUUGCCCAAUAGCCUUUCACCUCUGGAGAGCUGGAGUCAAUUCCGGCGAAUCCGGUCCCGCCGUGCAUCAUGGCAAAGUGAGACUGUUGUCUUGCCACCUGGUUCAGCUUGGCCAGAUCGAGCGGAGAAAUGGUGUGUUGUCCUUGAAUCGAGUAGGCAUCUAGAGGUGGUCCCUCCAGGUCAUGGGUGGCAUGGGGGUAGCCCGCAGCGUCGCUGCACCGAUCUUGGCCGCCCGCGCAGAUGACUGGGGAGCUGGCCGGCAUGGGCUGGUACGGAAUGGUCAUGACUCUCCCUUGCGGAGACUGGGAGAGCGUCUCCAGCAUGACCAGGCAAAUCUGCUUGACACACUCGGUGACAGACUGCGGCACGCCAGCGAUGGUGAUGGCCCGCUCGGUGGAGUUGGGCAGCAUAUCCCCCGCCACCUGGACCUGCGCCCCCGUACUCUCGCGGAUCUCUUUGAUCUUACACCCGCCUUUCCCAAUCAGGGAGCCGCACUGGGUGGCCGGCACCACCAGCCUCAGGGUGACCGGGGGCCUGCUGGCCGCGGUACUGUUGGUCAUGGAGCUGUUGAUAUCUUCCUCCAGCUUGUCGAUGAUCAUAGCGAAAGCCUUAAAGAUGGCAUUGGUGGGGCCGGUCAGAGUGAUGAUUCUCUCCGGACAAUUCCCCUCCGAGAUGUUGAUCCGCGCGCCACUCUCCUCGCGGAUCCUCUUAACCGACUCCCCUUUCUUCCCAAUGAUGCUUCCUACUUCCUUUCCGUGCAUAAGAAGCCGAAUGAGGAAGACAAACAUAAAGAUGAAGUGCUUAAUUCAAGGUCACACAAUGUCGGGGAUGGACCUCCAGAUUUCCUUACUGGUGAGCACAUUUUCCAGGUUUUUCUGUAAAUCAGGGUUUUGGAAUUUAAAUACUAUUUAAAACGUUUAGGUGAGCUUGUCAUUUAAAUGAGCCCUUCAGGUAAUCUUUUGUUGUGCAGUCAGCCCCUUUUUGUAUCAGGCAGCUCCCAGCUUUUCCUGAUAAGAGCUACACCUGUAACGGGCGGGCGGGCUGAAAUGCUGUCUUAUGCAGUGUCUGGUGAGGAUAGGGAGGGGGAAGUGAUUCAGCCUGCCCAGAGGCUCAGGUGUCUGUCGGUCUGGCCCUGUCUGUGGCACAUUUGAGCCUACCUGCCUCUGGGGGAGCAAAUGGUUUUUUGUAUGACUGACUUGCUUCCGUCAGCUCCCCAUGGGCUUGACUCUUGCCUCCCCCACCCCAGCACCCCAACCAGGUAAAAAUAAAUUCGCUCUGGCACCAAGCCUCCAUUUCUCUGCAGAGAUUGACAGAGCAUGACAGAGUGUUAGGUCAGUCUGUGGACUCUUCAGUUCAAUGCAACACGUAGCUAGUGGGCCAAGCAACAAACUGGUGCCUGAGCAGGGCUCUGAUUGUGUGUGGAUAUGAGAGACAAAGAGAAGGGCUUUUUGCCUUUAACUUAUGUUACUAUCAGAUAUAUUUUCCAAAGUGGUUUCAUGUUAGUUUAUAUAACUCUACGAACAUUUAAUAGGUACAUAACAGCAACGAUGACAGUUACAGCACUAGGUGCUUACUGUGUGCUGGGCAUUGUUCUAAGCCUUAUUUUAUGUAUUCAGUGUCUCACAUUUUUAAAAAAACCACUAAGAAACAAAUUUUACAUUAUGAUUUAAGACAUUUAUGCACACAUAUGUAACAAAAUUUUUGCAAAACAAUAUUUGUUACUACAUGCAGUAUAUGUACUUGGGUAAUUUCUAUUCUUUAUAUAUAAAAAGGACACAUUAUAAAGUGAUUAAAAACCCAUUAAUAAGUUGUGACCGCUUAUACACAUUUAAUCCUCACAAAACCUCCUGAAAUGGGUGGUGAUAUUAGGUCAGUUUUACAGAGGUACAGAUUAGUGAAGGAAUUUAUCCAAGGUCACACAGCUAUUAAGUGGUAAAGCAAGGAUUUGAAUUUAGGCAAUCUGAGUCCAGAGACUCCAUUCUUAACCACUAAACUGGAUGUGGUCUCUGCAGAGAGUCCUGUCUCAUAGGGAGACAGAAUAGAUGAGGGAAUUAAAAAUAUUACCAAGUGUUAGAAACUCAGGUGACAACAAAAGGACUAAAUUGCAUAUAAUCAAGGAAUGUUCAAACAAAGCCUUCUUCUGGUCUUUUAAAUCUAACUUAUUUCUUUUCUCUAGAGAAAAUUUUAUCUGUCAGGUCUUUCUUUCCAAGACUACCUACUGAAAUAUUUCCAUAAUUUCCUGUUAUGUACUCCUGGGACUUAGUGCACCUCCUCAGUGAAGCCUUCCCUUUCCCAGCUUCCCCAGCUCUUAGCCUCCCUCCUUCCCCGAGAGUCUUAACAGUUUCUCCCUUCGGUAGCCCACGUUUGGACGUUGGUUAAAUUGUAAUGUGUCUUGGGGUUGGUAACAUGUCAUACAGACACCUUGGGUGAUGCUGUGGUCUGGCAAAGAGGUCAUUGGACCUUGGAAUCUGAGGCUCUGGGCCCUAGUCCUAGCUCUGCCCCUGUCUAGCUCUGAGACUUCUACAACUCAUCUGUCAGGGUUUCAGUUCUCCCUUUUAUAAAGCAAGAGAUUAAAUGAUCUCUAAGGGUCCUUCUACUUAUGUCCAGGGACUGAUGAUAUUUGAUGACUUUGGUUAUUUUUCUUUGGCGGGGUGGGAGGUUUAUGUAAAUGUUUUCUGCACUUUUGGUAAAAUCUCCACUCCCUUCCUCAGACCUGCAUUAUCUUGUGGAUACCUGAGUGAAUUCCACACCACCCAUUUUAUAGAUGAAACCACUGAGACAUGGAGCAAUUGACUGAGUAGUCACUGCCCCACCCCUGCCUGGAGCCUCACACAUGACUCGCCUCCUCUCAGUGACCACAGGUUGGUUGAGGGGUUUAACAAGGCUAAGAAGUACUUAUCCUGUAUUACAUGAAGGAAAUGAAAUAAAAAGACUGCAGCCCCACUCCCAGCUACUCAGUGAGGUGGUAGCUAGGUAAGAAAACAACCCUUUCCUUUUAGAUGAAAUUGGAACUUAGGAGGUAGUAAUCUUUGGGAGAGGCUUAAAGGGAUUGAUAAUGAUGAUAACAAAAAUAAUAGUAAUGGCCAGCUUUGAUGAACCGGGCACUGUGCUAAGAACUUUAUGUUGGUUGCCAUCUUCUGACAACCAUAUGAUUCCGGUACUAUGAGAAGUAGAGCCAGUGUAGUAGGAGUGAGGAGCAUAGACUAUGGGGUCGGACCUCCUGCUUUGACACCUAAGUUUUGCCGGUAACUGACUGUGUGGCCUUGAACAAGAAAACUGUGCCUCAUUUGUACGGAUAGUCCCUGACUUACAGUGGUUUGACUUACAAUUUUCAACUUUACGAUGAUGCAAAAGCCAUAUAUGUUAAUUAGAAACUGCACUUGAAAUUCUUAAUUUUGAUAUUUUCCUGGCCUACUGACACGUUCUCAUGAUGCUGGGCUGCAGCAACAAGCUGCAGCUCCCACUCAGCCGUGCAGUCAUGAAGGCAAACAACCAAUACUGCACACUGUACUGUGUUUAAUAAAUUACAUGAGAUAUUCAAGUUUAUAAUAGGCAUUGUAUUAGAUGAUUUUGCCAAGCUAGAGGCUAAUGUUAAGUGUUCUGAGCAUAUUUAAGAUAGUCUAGGCUGAGCUAUGAUGUUUGGUAGGCUAAGUGUAUCAAAUAUGUUUUUGACUUACGGUAUUCGAGAUGUAACCUCAUCAUAAGUCAAGGAACAUCUGUAUUUGUACAAUGAGGAUAAUGAUAAUACCUGCCUCCUAAGAUGGUGGUGACGGUUAAAUGCCAUCAGCUAUGUAAAGUGCUUAGCAUAGUGCUUGGCACAUAGAAAGUGCUUACCAAAUGUCAGCUAUUAUCAUAAAAAUUAAAAUAGUUGUUAUUCUCAUUUAAAAGAUGGAUAAACAAAGGCUUAGAGAAAUAAGGUAAAUAAAGUAAUUUGUGUAAGUCACACAGCAUAUAAAUGACGGAAUUAGUUUGCACCCAGGCAGUCAAACUCCAGAGCUUUUGCUAACCAUUACGCUGCAUCACCUUAGUAGGUUGAGAGGAAGACUGGGCAAAAACUGCAUCUUGUCAAACUUGAGUGUAGGGGUAAAGGUCAGGCUUGAGUUCUGACUUACCUAACCUUCAUUGUGAUCUUAAGCAUCUUAUCAGUGUAGCAUGUGCCUCGAUUAUUCUCUGAAUUGAUUCUUCCCUAGAUCCAAAGACAUGAAUGAUAGGUUAGUUAUAUUCUUCUCCUGCUGAGGGAUUGGGUGUUCCCUGGACCGGGAAAUGGAGCUAAACAAACACCUAUGUCUCAGUGCUUUUUGGACCAUAAGUAAGAGCUUGUCCGGCCUCUCUUGUUAUUAUGCUUGUUUAUUUUUUCACAUGACUGGUAAUGAUGAGAAGCAGAACAGCAUACACAUUGAGAAUUUUCUUUUUUUUUUUUCUUUGAGACGGAGUUUUGCUCUUGUUGCCCAGGCUGGAAUGCAAUGGCGUGAUCUCACCUCACCGCAACCUCCGCCUCCCGGGUUCAGGCAAUUCUCCUGCCUCAGCCUCCCAAGUAGUAGCUGGGAUUACGGGCAUGUGACACCAAGCCCGGCUAAUUUUGUAUUUUUAGUAGAGACAGGGUUUCUCGAUGUUCCUCAGGCUGGUCUUGAACUCCCAGCCUCAGGUGAUCUGCCUGCCUCAGCCUCCCUAAGUGCUGGGAUUACAGGCGUGAGCCACUGUGCCUGGCCACACGUUGAGAAUUUUCUACAUGCUAUGUACUCUACAUGGAUUAUCUCAUUUAAUCCUUAAAAAUAACCUCAUGGUGACUCUUAUCCCCGUUUUAUAGAGUUGAAGAGAGGUUAGAAAACUUGCUUCAAGUUGCACAGUUAAUAAGUAGUAGAGCAGGGAUUUAAAUAAGGCAGUCCAUCCUGAG
rnacentral:lncRNA from 1 species